rnacentral:tRNA from 1 species
GGCUUUAUAUUCAAAAUGAUUUUAAAUUGCAAAUUUAAAGGUGGAGUUAUUCUUCUAAGGCUU